rnacentral:sRNA from 1 species
UGGCGGCGGCGCCGGGACGGGGGAGGGGCGCGCCGGAACCGGAACCGACCUGACGCCGGAACCGGAACGGACAGCGGGUUGCCAGGGCCCCAAGAGGGCUGGCUGCGGCGGUCUCGCUCGGCUGUCAGUUCCUUGCUGGAGAAUUUGGCCACAAAGAGUUGCCAAGAUAGCUGGGCCAGGAAGAAAGCGCCGCAGCCCUGACCCAGACGCUGUUGCUGACCCCGGGGCACUCUGGCUGUCGACCAAGCGGCUCAGGAUGUCUGGCGGGGCCAGUGCCACAGGCCCAAGGAGAGGGCCCCCAGGACUGGAGGACGCCACUAGUAAGAAGAAGCAGAAGGAUCGAGCAAACCAGGAGAGCAAGGAUGGAGAUCCUAGGAAAGAGACAGGGUCUCGAUCUGUUGCCCAGGCUGGUCUUGAACUUCUGGCCUCAGGUGAUCCUUCUGCCUCAGCCUCCCAUGCAGCUGGGAUCACAGGCUCACGCCACCGUACCCGGCUGUUCUUUCCUUCAUCAUCAGGGUCAGCAUCCACUCCUCAAGAGGAGCAGACCAAAGAGGGAGCUUGUGAAGACCCUCAUGAUCUCUUGGCUACUCCCCCUCCAGAGUUGUUGCUCGAUUGGAGGCAGAGUGCAGAAGAGGUGAUUGUCAAGCUUCGUGUGGGAGUAGUUCCCCUGCAGCUGGAGGAUGUAGAUGCUGCUUUCACAGAUACGGACUGUGUGGUGCGGUUUGCAGGUGGUCAGCAGUGGGGUGGUGUCUUCUAUGCUGAGAUAAAAAGCUCUUGUGCUAAAGUGCAAACCCGCAAGGGCAGUCUCCUGCACCUGACACUGCCCAAAAAGGUGCCUAUGCUCACGUGGCCCUCCCUCCUGGUGAGUUCUAGUAGUACAGGGUUGGGUAGGGAUACCCAGUGUAGUCGACAGGGCCUGACUGCUGUAUCUUUGGCAGAAGAAACCUCUAGGGACCCAGGAGCUGGUGCUGGGGCUGCAGUGCCAGGAGAAUGGGC